UGUUCGAUGUAACAUCCCAUUUUUUUUUAAAGAAGUAUAAAUAUAGUUAUUAUUUAAAACAGAAAUAAAAUUUAUAAAGUGUUGAGGAACAAGUUUAAUUGAAAAUUGGAUUUAUAAGUGAAGAUUUGAAGUUUAUGGUGUAAAAUGGACUUUUAGAAAGAUCAAGGACUGAACUGAACUUUUCCUCUAAAAGUUGCACAGCUGGCCACUUUCUCCUUCGAAAGCCCGCAUGAUGGUACAACAAUUUAAAAAAAAAAAGAAAAAAAGAAACACUACAAAAGGAAGGCGAAUCAGGAAGAAGGAAAGAGAAGAAAGGAUAAGAAAGAAGGAAAGAAGGAGAAGAAGAAGAGGGGAGAAAGGAGGGGAAGAUGGCCAAAAUUUUUUAGAUUUCUCUCGCAAGAUAGAACACCGGCAAAGGGAAAAAAAAAGAUAGUGAUCUGAAGUAUAAGAAACAAAAGAGAGAAAGGGAAAAGAAGAUGAAUAGGAGCAGAAUCUGGAUUCUGCAGGGCAGCAUCUCUUUCAUCUAUUUAGUCGCAGCUUAAGCUAGUCUCGCUGAAACCUGGUCCUUAUAGAUAUGGAAAAUCGGGAUGAAGCACGACUUUGAAUAGAUCUCACUGGCCUCCGCACUUGGAUUUAAGCGAAAGUCAUGCUUGAAUUGAGCUUGCUGGCUGGUCUUAGAUCAAGAGAGCUAGAUAAGGGAUCAGCUUCCAUAGUUCUGUAUGAAAACACUUUACUGGUAUUAAAGGUCAUUGGAGUAAUUAUAGAGAGCUAUUUGUUAAUUUGGAAGUUCAAGGGGCUAUGAAAGAAAAGGGGAAAACUUACUAAGUUUUAGAGGAGCAGAGAGUUACACAAGGGUGAGUAUGACUCGUGUUCCUAGUCACGUGAUUGUCAAUUUAACAAAAACACUAGCCGUAUUUCUAGUGACACAAGUCAAUGUAAUUCUCAACUUCAAGGCAUAAAAGAAAUGAGAGUUACACCAGCAUCAACAUGGUUCAUGUAAUGACAUCAAUUGCAAUAACACAACCUGGUGUUGCACCUUGUGCUUCCUCUAAGCUUUAAGUCUAGUUGUGCGGCAAGUUCGUGUGACUGAACCUUACAAGUACGUGAGGUUGUAUGAAUUAAAACUCCUUUUGACAUCAGACAACACGACUUGGAUUUUCCUUUUAGACCUGUUGUACUAAUUUUUAAUUUAUUAGGGCUACAUUUAUUGCAAUACAUAUUUCUCUAUAAGUAGAAAAAGAGAAAAACUUUAGAACGAUUUUGGAUUCUUAGAAGAAGAAAGGACGAUAGCUGGAAAUCUUCACAUUUCUCUUUGCACCAAGUGGAUUUCAUAUUAUAUUUCAACAUCAAAGCUAAUUUCUCACAUGUGUUCUUCUAUUCCUUAGUUUAUUUUCAUGUUUAUUGUUAUUUUCUCCAUAUAUUUCAUUGUAAUUACGAACGUAAGUAAGUAAUUUGUUUUAGAUUUCAAAUUUGGGCUGUAAUACUCUGAUUUAAUCAAUGGAAUUGCUUUGAUUUUUAUCUAA